UACAGGGGGUGCAAGCGUUAAUCGGAAUUACUGGGCGUAAAGCGUGCGUAGGUGGUUUACUAAGUCAGGUGUGAAAUCCCUGGGCUCAACCUGGGAACUGCAUUUGAUACUGGCAGACUCGAGUCUGGUAGAGGGUAGUGGAAUUCCGCAUGUAGCGGUGAAAUGCGUAGAUAUGCGGAGGAACAUCGGUGGCGAAGGCGGCUACCUGGACCAAGACUGACACUGAGGCACGAAAGCGUGGGGAUCAAACAGG
rnacentral:rRNA from 1 species